GUGGUUGUAGCUCAGUUGGUUAGAGCGCCUGAUUGUGGUUCAGGAGGUACUGCCAACAAAUUUUCCACCCAAUAACU
rfam:Flavobacteriaceae bacterium TMED206 42705, whole genome shotgun sequence.